UACCAGCUCUCCGAGUGGUAGGGAUGAUUAUUGGGCUUAAAGCGUCCGUAGCCGGCUUAGCAAGUCUCCUGUUAAAUUCAGCGACCUAAUCGUUGAGCCGCGGGAGAUACUACUAGGCUAGGAGGCGGGAGAGGUCGACGGUACUUCUGGGGUAGGGGUGAAAUCCUAUAAUCCCGGGAGGACCACCAGUGGCGAAGGCUGUCGACUAGAACGCGCUCGACGGUGAGGGACGAAAGCUGGGGGAGCGAACCGGAUUAGAUACCCGGGUAGUCCCAGCUGUAAACGAUGCGGGCUAGGUGUUGGGGUGGCUACGUGCCACUUCAGUGCCGCAGGGAAGCUAUUAAGCCCGCCGCCUGGGGAGUACGGCCGCAAGGCUGAAACUUAAGGAAUUGGCGGGGAGCACACGAGGCGUGAAGCUUGCGGUUC
rnacentral:rRNA from 1 species